CAAUAGCGUAUAUUAAAGUUGUUGCAGUUAAAAAGCUCGUAGUUGGAUUUCUGGGAGGGUGCCGCCGUCCGGCGUGUCCGUGUGCAGUGGCGCCCUUCCAUCCUUCUGUUAGCGUCUCUUGGCAUUCAUUUGCUGGUGGCGGGCUCAGAUAUUUUACCUUGAGAAAAUUAGAGUGUUUCAGGCAGGCUAGGCCGGAAUACAUUAGCAUGGAAUAAUGGAAUAGGACUACGGUCUCUUUGUUGGUUUGAGGGACUGCAGUAAUGAUUAAUAGGGAUAGUUGGGGGCAUUAGUAUUUAAUUGUCAGAGGUGGAAUUCUCAGAUUUGUUAAAGACUAACUUAUGCGAAAGCAUUUGCCAAGGAUGUUUUCAUUGA
rnacentral:rRNA from 1 species